rnacentral:rRNA from 1 species
UACGUAGGGGGCGAGCGUUGUCCGGAUUUAUUGGGCGUAAAGAGCGUGUAGGCGGCUUGGUAGGUCUGCUGUGAAAACUCGGGGCUCAACCCCGAGACGUCGGUGGAAACCACCUGGCUAGAGUCCGGAAGAGGAGAGUGGAAUUCCUGGUGUAGCGGUGAAAUGCGCAGAUAUCAGGAGGAACACCGGUGGCGAAGGCGGAUCUCUGGGCCGAUACUGACGCUGAGGAGCGAAAGCGUGGGGAGCGAACAGG